CACGUAGGGUGCGAGCGUUGUCCGGAAUUAUUGGGCGUAAAGAGCUCGUAGGCGGUGUGUCGCGUCGGCCGUGAAAACCUGCAGCUUAACUGUGGGCUUGCGGUCGAUACGGGCAUCACUGGAGUUCGGCAGGGGAGACUGGAAUUCCUGGUGUAGCGGUGAAAUGCGCAGAUAUCAGGAGGAACACCGAUGGCGAAGGCGGGUCUCUGGGCCGAUACUGACGCUGAGGAGCGAAAGCGUGGGGAGCGAACAGG
rnacentral:rRNA from 1 species